rnacentral:rRNA from 1 species
GCCUACGGGCGGCUGCAGUGGGGAAUAUUGGACAAUGGGGGGAACCCUGAUCCAGCCAUGCCGCGUGUGUGAAGAAGGCCUUAUGGUUGUAAAGCACUUUAAGCGAGGAGGAGGCUACUUUAGUUAAUACCUAGAGAUAGUGGACGUUACUCGCAGAAUAAGCACCGGCUAACUCUGUGCCAGCAGCCGCGGUAAUACAGAGGGUGCAAGCGUUAAUCGGAUUUACUGGGCGUAAAGCGCGCGUAGGCGGCUAAUUAAGUCAAAUGUGAAAUCCCCGAGCUUAACUUGUGAAUUGCAUUCGAUACUGGUUAGCUAGAGUGUGGGAGAGGAUGGUAGAAUUCCAGGUGUAGCGGUGAAAUGCGUAGAGAUCUGGAGGAAUACCGAUGGCGAAGGCAGCCAUCUGGCCUAACACUGACGCUGAGGUGCGAAAGCAUGGGGAGCAAACAGGAUUAGAUACCCUGGUAGUCG